GCCAAACUUCUAGCCAAACAAAUUUUUAUAAUAUCCUCAAUUUAUUCUUCUAUUUUAAAACAUUUUAUUGAUUUAGUAAAGGCGAUAAAAAAAUUUCUAAGAGCAAUAUAGAUAGUACCGUAAGGGAAUGAUGAAAUAAAAAUGAAAUAGCUCUAAAGCAUAAAAAAGUAAAGCUUACAACUUGUACCUUUUGCAUCAUGGUUUAACUAGUCCUUCUAGGCAAAAAGACUUUUAGUCUAAUACCCCGAACCUAGGCGAGCUACUCUAAGACAGCUUUUAGAGCCAACCCAUCUCUGUUGCAAAAGAGUGGGAAGAUCUUAAAGUAGAGGUGACAUACCAAACGAGCCUAGUGAUAGCUGGUUGCUUUUUAAAAGGAUUUUAGUCCAACUUAAAGUUAUCUUUAUUCAAAAAAAUUUUAAACUUUAAAGUAAUUCAAAUAAGGUUCAGCCUAUUUGAAAAAGGAUACAACCUCUACCACUGGGUUAAAUGCACCAAAAAACAAAGUAGGCUUAAAAGCAGCCACCUAACAAAAGCGUCAUAGCUUAAUCUAAUAUCUUGUGUAAUUCCUAAAACCUCUCUCAACCCUUCAUUACCAAAAAGCAAUUCUAUAUACCUAUAGAAAAUUUUAUGUUAAAACUAGUAACAAGAAGUAGCUCUUCUCUUAAAUGUACCUUUAUGUCAACACGGACAACCCUUUGAUAAUCAACGUCUAUAAAUUUAUAGUACCCACUUCCUUCCCGAAAACCCUACUACUACUUACGUUAACCUAACACAAGAACAUUUAAAGAAAGAUUAAAAGAUAAAGAAGGAACUCGGCAAAUAUUAGCUUCGCCUGUUUACCAAAAACAUCGCCUCCUGACUAACCAUAAGAGGUCCAGCCUGCCCAGUGACAUUGUUCAACGGCCGCGGUAUCCUAACCGUGCGAAGGUAGCGUAAUCACUUGUUCUUUAAAUGAGGACUAGUAUGAAUGGCUUCACGAAAGCUAUACUGUCUCCCUUAUCUAAUCAGUUAAACUAAUCUCCCCGUGAAGAAGCGGGGAUUAACCUAUAAGACGAGAAGACCCUAUGGAGCUUUAAACAUCUUAAAACAUUUGAAUUUUAUAUUAUUAUCUUCAGAGAACUAAACUAAGCCCAUCACUCUGUUUUAAGUUUUAGGUUGGGGUGACCACGGAGAUAGCCUAACCUCCACGUAGAAUGAAACUUCCUUCUAAGCAAAAAGCUACACCUUUAUGCAUCAAAAUAUUGACCUAAAUUGACCCAAUUACUUGAUCAACGAACCAAGUUACCCUAGGGAUAACAGCGCAAUCCGCUUUAAGAGCUCCUAUCGACAAGCGGGCUUACGACCUCGAUGUUGGAUCAGGGGAUCCCAGUGGUGCAGCAGCUACUAAUGGUUCGUUUGUUCAACGAUUAAAACCCUACGUGAUCUGAGUUCAGACCGGAGCAAUCCAGGUCAGUUUCUAUCUAUAAAGAGUUUUUUCUAGUACGAAAGGACCGAAAAACCAUGGCCAAUGCUUUAUAUCAAGCCAUUUUUUAAAAAUUUAUGUUUUUAACUUAAUAAUUAAAAUCCUAAUACUCACUUUAAGAUCAAAAACCUCAA
rnacentral:rRNA from 1 species